AUUGAACGCUGGCGGCAUGCUUUACACAUGCAAGUCGAACGGCAGCGCGGGCUUCGGCCUGGCGGCGAGUGGCGAACGGGUGAGUAAUGCAUUGGAACGUGCCCAGUAGUGGGGGAUAGCCCGGCGAAAGCCGGAUUAAUACCGCAUACGACCUGAGGGUGAAAGCGGGGGACCGAAAGGCCUCGCGCUAUUGGAGCGGCCGAUGUCGGAUUAGCUAGUUGGUGGGGUAAAGGCUUACCAAGGCGACGAUCCGUAGCUGGUCUGAGAGGACGACCAGCCACACUGGGACUGAGACACGGCCCAGACUCCUACGGGAGGCAGCAGUGGGGAAUUUUGGACAAUGGGGGCAACCCCGAUCCAGCCAUGCCGCGUGCGGGAAGAAGGCCUUCGGGUUGUAAACCGCUUUUGUUCGGGAAGAAAUCCUCUGGGCUAAUACCCCGGGGGGAUGACGGUACCGGAAGAAUAAGCACCGGCUAACUACGUG
rnacentral:rRNA from 1 species